AGUGAACGCUGGCGGUAGGCCUAACACAUGCAAGUCGAACGGCAGCACAGUAAUAGCUUGCUCUUACGGGUGGCGAGUGGCGGACGGGUGAGGAAUACAUCGGAAUCUACUUUUUCGUGGGUGAUAACGUAGGGAAACUUACGCUAAUACCGCAUACGACCUACGGGUGAAAGCAGGGGAUCUUCGGACCUUGCGCGAUUGAAUGAGCCGAUGUCGGAUUAGCUAGUUGGCGGGGUAAAGGCCCACCAAGGCGACGAUCCGUAGCUGGUCUGAGAGGAUGAUCAGCCACACUGGAACUGAGACACGGUCCAGACUCCUACGGGAGGCAGCAGUGGGGAAUAUUGGACAAUGGGUGCAAGCCUGAUCCAGCCAUACCGCGUGGGUGAAGAAGGCCUUCGGGUUGUAAAGCCCUUUUGUUGGGAAAGAAAAGCAGCAGGUUAAUACCCCGCUGUUCUGACGGUACCCAAAGAAUAAGCACCGGCUAACUUCGUG
rnacentral:rRNA from 1 species